rnacentral:misc_RNA from 1 species
GAAAUGCGAUAUGUAGUGUGAAUUGCAGAAUUCCGUGAAUCAUCGAAUCUUUGAACGCACAUUGCGCCCCUUGGUAUUCCAUGGGGCAUGCCUGUUCGAGCGUCAUUUGUACCCUCCAGCUUUGCUUGGUGUUGGGCGUCUUGUCCUCUUUGGUGGACUCGCCUUAAAACAAUUGGCAGCCGGCAUAUUGGUAUCGGAGCGCAGCACAAGUCGCGCUUCUUUCCAUGAAUGUUAGCAUCCAUCAAGACUAUUUUCACUCUUGACCUCGGAUCAGGUAGGGACACCCGCUGAACUUAA